AUGUUUGUUCUGACACUUAAGCAAUUUUUAUGUUCUGACACUUUAGCCAUGGCGAUUCUACACCCCAUGACCCGCCUCCUACCAGGGAGCAGCCAGGGCCUCAUGUACAAAAGGGCUCCGUCUCUUCUCAACCCAGAGCUAGCUAGGGAAGACGAAGCACAACAAUACCUGGCAGUGAGUUAUAAUCCAUCCACAAGCAGCAGCAGCACAAGUGUGUGUAGGUUGAUCAGACUGUACAUACACACACACCCUUAUAUGUCGGAGGAUCCACGGAGCGCGAUGGAGGGGAGGGCGAGGCGACGCGCCAGCCCGUCCAGGAUGCGCACCAAGGCUGUCAGGGUGGAGCCGGAGCCACCACCGACCAGGAGGCACGAGCCAGGGACGAGGGCGGCGGUGGUGUACUACCUUUGCCGCAACCACCACCUGGAGCACCCGCACUUCAUGGAGGUGACCCUCGCCUCCCCGCAAGGCCUCUACCUGCGAGAUGUGUUUGACCGGCUGGACGCCCUGAGAGGGAAGGGAAUGGCAGCCAAGUAUUCCUAG
rnacentral:rRNA from 1 species